UGAACGCUGGCGGCGUGCCUAAUACAUGCAAGUCGAGCGAACGGACGAGAAGCUUGCUUCUCUGAUGUUAGCGGCGGACGGGUGAGUAACACGUGGAUAACCUACCUAUAAGACUGGGAUAACUUCGGGAAACCGGAGCUAAUACCGGAUGAUAUUUUGAACCGCAUGGUUCACAAGUGAAAGACGGUCUUGCUGUCACUUAUAGAUGGAUCCGCGCUGCAUUAGCUAGUUGGUAAGGUAACGGCUUACCAAGGCAACGAUGCAUAGCCGACCUGAGAGGGUGAUCGGCCACACUGGAACUGAGACACGGUCCAGGCUCCUACGGGAGGCAGCAGUAGGGAAUCUUCCGCAAUGGGCGAAAGCCUGACGGAGCAACGCCGCGUGAGUGAUGAAGGUCUUCGGAUCGUAAAACUCUGUUAUUAGGGAAGAACAUAUGUGUAAGUAACUGUGCACAUCUUGACGGUACCUAAUCAGAAAGCCACGGCUAACUACGUG
rnacentral:rRNA from 1 species